UAUCACGCUGAGCUGAUAAUUUUUUUUUACAAAGUAACCGGAUCGCGGGAAUAACAGGCGUCACUGGCGAUAUUUUCCGUUGUACCGCUUUUCACGGCUGCAAUCGGCCGUUACUGGUGUGAAAUUGCUUUGGACCGGUAUUUAAGCUCUUAACGGCGUCGGACUGUGCAGCCAGCGCCGCCGCUGCUAUUUAAACCCCGAUGGAGUCGAUGAUAAAGAAAUAUCAGCAGAAAUUCAGAAAAGCAAAAGAUGAAAUGAGUAAAUGGGACGACAUUCAAUCUCGCUUAAUUUCUCAGUUUCGAAAUGCUUCUUCUAUUAUUGCCAGAUUAGAGACUAUUCAAAACACUAAAAAUUAUGCGAGUUUAAAUUCGAUUGGAGGAAUCGAAGUUGCAGUGAUGCAAAAGCAGAUGGAUUUUUUGCAAAAUAUUUUACUUUCCAUGAGAAAUACCAUUGAAGACUUUCUGGCUGUUCUUCUUUCUCUUGAGAAGCUUCAAUAUGAUGGUAAACAGCUUGCAAAAGGGUGCUCUAACCAGCUGAACAAAAAACAACUGCAACAUAGAAUUGGCAUAAAACCGACUCUUACAAAUUGCAUAGACGGGCUGGUACUUCUCCAUGAAAUGCACCUUGCCGAGUACCUUCUUAAAUCAUCAUUGGUUUCUGCACUUUCAGCUCUUGCCUUGAAACCAAAGUAAGCCAUGGCUUUGUAAUUGUUAUGUUUCCUUGAUUUGCAGUUCCGGUGAUCUGGGUGCACUUCACCAACUUUUGGUUGAUCAACCCAAUAUACUAAGCGAGGAAGUACAGUACAUCUUUGACACCAUAUUUGCGGAAGAGAUAUGCUGAUUUUUAUAGACAACUUCUGAUUCCCUGGUUUUGUUGAAGUGGUGCUAUGGCCGAUGCCUCUCGGUUUUGUUACAUUAGCUAAAGGAAUCAUUCUGCACCUAGCACAUUGCAGGAAAAGCUGUGGCCCUUGCACCAUGGACAAUAGCGAAAUAUGGCUGACAAACAUCAAGAAUACCAAAUCCGAAGAUUUCGCAGAGCUUUGGGUACCGGUAGAUUGAAAUGUUUGAAAGGAACCACAGGGCACACACAAACUUGGCACAUGUUAUCAAACAGCAAAAGCAAAUGCAAGUGCAAU